UUCCGUAGGGGGAACCUGCGGAGGGAUCAUUGCUGGAACGCGCCUCGGCGCACCCAGAAACCCUUUGUGAACUUAUACCUAUUGUUGCCUCGGCGAAGGCCGGCCUCUUCUGAGGCCCCCCGGAGACGGGGAGCAGCCCGCCGGCGGCCAACCAAACUCUUGUUUCUUAGUGAAUCUCUGAGUAAAAAACAUAAAUGAAUCAAAACUUUCAACAACGGAUCUCUUGGUUCUGGCAUCGAUGAAGAACGCAGCGAAAUGCGAUAAGUAAUGUGAAUUGCAGAAUUCAGUGAAUCAUCGAAUCUUUGAACGCACAUUGCGCCCUCUGGUAUUCCGGAGGGCAUGCCUGUUCGAGCGUCAUUUCAACCCUCAAGCCUGGCUUGGUGUUGGGGCACUGCUUCGAGAGAAGCAGGCCCUGAAAUCUAGUGGCGAGCUCGCUAGGACCCCGAGCGUAGUAGUUAUAUCUCGUUCUGGAAGGCCCUGGCGGUGCCCUGCCGUUAAACCCCCAACUUCUGAAAUUUUGACCUCGGAUCAUGUAGCAUACCC
rnacentral:rRNA from 1 species